GAUGAACGCUAGCGGGAGGCCUAACACAUGCAAGCCGAGCGGUAGAGUCUCUUCGGAGACUUGAGAGCGGCGCACGGGUGCGGAACACGUGUGCAACCUGCCUUUAUCUGGGGGAUAGCCUUUCGAAGGGAAGAUUAAUACCCCAUAAUAUACUGGAUGGCAUCAUCUGGUAUUGAAAACUCCGGUGGAUAGAGAUGGGCACGCGCAAGAUUAGAUAGUUGGUGAGGUAACGGCUCACCAAGUCAGCGAUCUUUAGGGGGCCUGAGAGGGUGAUCCCCCACACGGGUACUGAGACACGGACCAGACUCCUACGGGAGGCAGCAGUGAGGAAGAUUGGACAAUGGGUGAGAGCCUGAUCCAGCCAUCCCGCGUGAAGGACGACGGCCCUAUGGGUUGUAAACUUCUUUUGUAUAGGGAUAAACCUAGAUACGUGUAUCUAGCUGAAGGUACUAUACGAAUAAGCACCGGCUAACUCCGUG
rnacentral:rRNA from 1 species